rnacentral:miRNA from 1 species
ACCCUUAACUGUCUGUUUAAAAC